ACGGUCACGGUGGUGAGGCCAGUUCUCCUCAUUUUCCAUCCAGGACUCUUAUCAGGAGAUCACCGAGAGAAUCACUGACCUAGCUCAUCUUCACGGAGUGCCGUGGAGUAAAGAUUUGACGAGGCUGCAAGCCCUGCUUUGAGCUGUGUGGAUGGCAGAUGUGGAAAAGGGGACCCGCGGACCUAGCCUGAUACCUCAGAGAGAAACAGAAACAAGCAUGGUGGAGCUAUCAUCUUGGACACCAUGGUUAUGGUCAUGAAGAUUGGGAAGCUCUUUCUGCAAAGCUCCACCUGGAUCUGAGAAAAUGCUGCUCUCUCCCUGUUACGAGUAGAUGAGGUCCAUCUUGUACUUUUGUGUGGCUUUGGAGGGUGUAUAGGAAGAGAACACGACUUUAGGAAAUGAUGCUGUCUAUGAUUCUAAUUUAUUUUUGGACUCCUGAGGCUUAAACAUUAACCAGAGUAAAAUAAACAUAU